UAAUAACAUUUGAGGGCUACGGAAGCUG
rnacentral:piRNA from 1 species